CGACGACGCUGGCGGCGUGGAUAAGACAUGCAAGUCGUGCGACAGACCAGGAAUUGAUUACUUCGGUUUGAUUUUCCUGACGAUGAGCGGCGAACGGGUGCGUAACACGUGAGAAAUCUGCCCUUAAGUUCGGGAUAGCCCUACGAAAGUAGAAUUAAUACCGGAUGUGGCCCAGGGAGGGCAUCUUCCCCUGGCUAAAGCUCGGUCACAGAGCGCUUUUGGAUGAUCUCGCGGUCUAUCAGCUUGUUGGUGAGGUAACGGCUCACCAAGGCUCUGACGGAUAGCUGGUCUGAGAGGAUGAUCAGUCACACUGGAACUGAGACACGGUCCAGACACCUACGGGUGGCAGCAGUCGAGAAUCAUUCACAAUGGGCGCAAGCCUGAUGGUGCGACGCCGCGUGGGGGAUGAAGGGCUUCGGUUCGUAAACCCCUGUCAUCUGUGAGUAAGGCUCCCAAUAAAAGCUUGGGAGAUUGAUAUCAGCAGAAGAGGAAGGGACGGCUAACUCAGUGCCAGCAGCCGCGGUAAUACUGAGGUCCCAAGCGUUGUUCGGAUUUACUGGGCGUAAAGGGUGCGUAGGCGGCUAUAAAAGUUUGGUGUGAAAUCUCCGGGCUCAACCCGGAAACUGCAUUGAAAACUAGAUGGCUAGAGGAUCGGAGAGGAGAUUGGAAUUCUCAGUGUAGCAGUGAAAUGCGUAGAUAUUGAGAGGAACACCAGUUGCGAAGGCGGAUCUCUGGACGGUUUCUGACGCUGAGGCACGAAAGCUGGGGUAGCGAAGAGGAUUAGAUACCCUCGUAGUCCCAGCCGUAAACGGUGCGCACUUGCUGUGGGCGGAUUCGACCCCGUCUGUGGCGAAGCUAACGCGAUAAGUGCGCCGCCUGGGGAGUACGGUCG
rnacentral:rRNA from 1 species